rnacentral:rRNA from 1 species
GAUGAACGCUGGCGGCGUGCCUAAUACAUGCAAGUCGAGCGAACAGACGAGGAGCUUGCUUCUCUGACGUUAGCGGCGGACGGGUGAGUAACACGUGGAUAACCUACCUAUAAGACUGGGAUAACUUCGGGAAACCGGAGCUAAUACCGGAUAAUAUAUUGAACCGCAUGGUUCAAUAGUGAAAGACGGUCUUGCUGUCACUUAUAGAUGGAUCCGCGCUGCAUUAGCUAGUUGGUAAGGUAACGGCUUACCAAGGCAACGAUGCAUAGCCGACCUGAGAGGGUGAUCGGCCACACUGGAACUGAGACACGGUCCAGACUCCUACGGGAGGCAGCAGUAGGGAAUCUUCCGCAAUGGGCGAAAGCUUGACGGAGCAACGCCGCGUGAGUGAUGAAGGUCUUCGGAUCGUAAAACUCUGUUAUUAGGGAAGAACAUAUGUGUAAGUAACUGUGCACGUCUUGACGGUACCUAAUCAGAAAGCCACGGCUAACUACGUG